rnacentral:rRNA from 1 species
GACGAACGCUGGCGGCGUGCCUAACACAUGCAAGUCGAGCGAGAGACUUCGGUCUCUAGCGGCGGACGGGUGAGUAACACGUGGGUAACCUGCCUCAUAGCGGGGGAUAGCCUCCCGAAAGGGAGAUUAAUACCGCAUAAUAUGUAUUGAUUGCAUGCUCAAUACAUUAAAGGGGAAAUCCGCUAUGAGAUGGACCCGCGGCGCAUUAGCUAGUUGGGGAGGUAACGGCUCACCAAGGCGACGAUGCGUAGCCGACCUGAGAGGGUGAUCGGCCACAUUGGAACUGAGAAACGGUCCAGACUCCUACGGGAGGCAGCAGUGGGGAAUAUUGCGCAAUGGGGGAAACCCUGAUGCAGCAACGCCGCGUGAGUGAAGAAGGCCUUCGGGUUGUAAAGCUCUGUCAUUGGGGACGAUAAUGACGGUACCCAAUGAGGAAGCCACAGCUAACUACGUGCCAGCCGCCGCCGUAAAAC